ensembl:snRNA U6 U6 spliceosomal RNA
GUACUCACCUUGGCAGCACAUAUACUAAAAUUGGAAUGAUACAGAGAAGAUUGGCAUGGCCCUUCACAAGAAUGGCAUGCAAAUUCAUGAUGUGUUUCAUAUUUUU